GGCUGGUCCCCACACGGUAGUGUUUGUACCUGAUGAGUCACAGCCGGGCAGGCUCCUUCGUUCCUUCUCCAUGCCCACGGCUUCACUUGACCAGCCUAAA
rnacentral:Y_RNA from 1 species